GGAGGGGGCCAGCGUUGUUCGGAAUUAUUGGGCGUAAAGGGCGCGCAGGCGGUUGUGCAAGUCAGUUGUGAAAUCCCCUGGCUCACCCUGGGAACUGCUUCUGAAACUGCAUGACUUGAGUCCGGGAGAGGAGAGUGGAAUUCCCAGUGUAGCGGUGGAAUGCGUAGAUAUUGGGAGGAACACCAGUGGCGAAGGCGGCUCUCUGGACCGGUACUGACGCUGAGGCGCGAAAGCUAGGGGGAGCAAACAGGAUUAGAUACCCUGGUAGUCCUAGCUGUAAACGAUGGGCACUUGGUGUUGCGGGUAUUGACCCCUGCAGUGCCGUAGCUAACGCGAUAAGUGCCCCCGCCUGGGAGUACGGUCGCAAGGCUG
rnacentral:rRNA from 1 species